GGGGGGGAACAGGGACAAUCUCAGAAUGAAGCCUACGGAAAACCGAAAAGAGGUACCAGAAACGUCCGGAGGUUAAGAACUUUCUCUGCUCUUCACUAGGACGCGAAGAAAACCGAGCCCCCAGGCUAACGAGCGGUAAAGGAAUACAGAUACGGCCUAGGCAUAGGUUAGAUCUGUGCCCAAAAGCAAAAUGGAGGUUGCUGCGGCAAGCACUUGUUUCCAGUGACCUUCUACGACCUCGCUUAUAGAUUGCGGAAAUACGUAACUCAAGGAGCGACGGUUUGGGGACAGUUGUAUUUAGGAUCUGUUUUUGUGGCUGAGUCUUUCUUCCUAAUGGUUUUCCCCUAAGUAUUCACCUGUCGUCGAGGCUUUCUUCAUAUCUUCCUUCAAGGCUUUCCCAAUGAUGAUUGUCUUGUCCAUUCUGUUUAAGUUGCCACCCUCUCAACACUCCAUAACGUUCUCCUUAUCUGCCUUGUUUUGUCUUAACACUUAUAACCGAUUAGCAAGAUAAAAGUACUUAUUUUGUUUA